UUUUCGGAUGGAAUCGGUAUAACUUAGUGGCGGACUGGUGAGUAACGCGUGAGCAACCUGCCUUACAGAGGGGGACAACAUUGGGAAACCGAUGCUAAUACCGCAUGACAUAUUCGAAAGGCAUCUUUUGAAUAUCAAAGGAGCAAUCCGCUGUAAGAUGGGCUCGCGUCCGAUUAGUUAGAUGGUGGGGUAACGGCCUACCAUGACGACGAUCGGUAGCCGGACUGAGAGGUUGAACGGCCACAUUGGGACUGAGAUACGGCCCAGACUCC
rnacentral:rRNA from 1 species